rnacentral:rRNA from 1 species
AGGGGUUUGAUCAUGGCUCAGGACGAACGCUGGCGGCGUGCCUAAUACAUGCAAGUCGAGCGGAUCUUGUCCUUCGGGGCAAGGUUAGCGGCGGACGGGUGAGUAACACGUAGGCAACCUGCCUGCAAGACCGGGAUAACUGGCGGAAACGCCUGCUAAUACCGGAUAAUCGGCUGGCCCGCAUGGGCCGGCUGUGAAAGAUGCUUCGGCAUCGCUUGUGGAUGGGCCUGCGGCGCAUUAGCUAGUUGGCGGGGUAACGGCCCACCAAGGCGACGAUGCGUAGCCGACCUGAGAGGGUGAUCGGCCACACUGGGACUGAGACACGGCCCAGACUCCUACGGGAGGCAGCAGUAGGGAAUCUUCGGCAAUGGACGAAAGUCUGACCGAGCAACGCCGCGUGAGUGAGGAAGGCCCUCGGGUCGUAAAGCUCUGUUGCCAGGGAAGAACAGUCGGGAGAGGGAAUGCUCUCGAUGUGACGGUACCUGAGAAGAAAGCCCCGGCUAACUACGUGCCAGCAGCCGCGGUAAUACGUAGGGGGCAAGCGUUGUCCGGAAUUAUUGGGCGUAAAGCGCGCGCAGGCGGUUUCUUAAGUCUUGUGUUUAAUCCCGGGGCUCAACCUCGGUUCGCAUGGGAAACUGGGAAACUGGAGUGCAGGAGAGGAAAGUGGAAUUCCACGUGUAGCGGUGAAAUGCGUAGAGAUGUGGAGGAACACCAGUGGCGAAGGCGACUUUCUGGCCUGUAACUGACGCU